rnacentral:lncRNA from 1 species
UCUGAGGAAUUACUCUAAUUCUUUAGUAGGUACUAGAAUCUACAUAGACUACACACGAGCCUGACUUUGAUCGGCUCACCCAUGUACAUCUAUGGGUAGGUUCUUAACCAAUUAUUUCAACAAAUAAUUUUUUAUAAUUGAUUUAGCUGUAAAUAACUUUUUAGUUGAAUUUGAUCUUUUCUACAAGCUCUGAUUAGGUCCAGCCAUUAACAUGAUCAUACUUACAAAUCUAACUACCAAAUAAUCAGGCCCAACUUUGAUCGGCUAACCUGACCACUUGACAUAAAGACU